rnacentral:rRNA from 1 species
UACAGAGGUCUCAAGCGUUGUUCGGAUUCAUUGGGCGUAAAGGGUGCGUAGGUGGCGAUGUAAGUCUGGUGUGAAAUCUCGGGGCUCAACCUCGAAAUUGCAUUGGAUACUGCGUUGCUUGAGGAUUGUAGAGGAGAGUGGAAUUCACGGUGUAGCAGUGAAAUGCGUAGAUAUCGUGAGGAAGACCAGUUGCGAAGGCGACUCUCUGGGCAAUUCCUGACACUGAGGCACGAAGGCCAGGGGGAGCAAAACGGGG